rnacentral:rRNA from 1 species
AGAGUUUGAUCAUGGCUCAGGAUUAACGCUGGCGGCAUGCCUAAUACAUGCAAGUCGAACGAACGAACCUUCGGGUAAGUUAGUGGCGAACGGGUGAGGAACACGUAAGAAACCUGCCUUACAGACGAGGAUAACCAUUGGAAACGAUGGCUAAUACUGGAUAGGAUAUAAAACCACAUGGUUUAAUAUUUAAAGAUGCUUUCGGGCAUUACUGUAUGAUGGUCUUGCGUAGCAUUAGCUAGUUGGUAGGGUAACGGCCUACCAAGGCGACGAUGCUUAGCUGGUCUGAGAGGACGAACAGCCACACUGGGACUGAGACACGGCCCAGACUCCUACGGGAGGCAGCAGUAGGGAAUUUUCGGCAAUGGGCGCAAGCCUGACCGAGCAAUGCCGCGUGAAUGAUGAAGGCCUUCGGGUCGUAAAAUUCUGUUAUCAAGGAAGAACAUAUAGUGUAGGAAAUGACAUUAUACUGACG